UCUUGUGAGCCCAGGUGUGAUGCGGCUGGUAACCGCCCAUUGCAAUCUCUGUAUCUCUCGAACCAGCCAUGGACCUCUGGUUGAUGUUGGCUGAGCCGAGGGAUACCUGGGAAGAGCAUGUCUGAAGUUAAAGGCAGGGUGAUACAGAGACUACCUAAGUAGAUUUAAGUACCUGAUUAGCACUCCCUGCGGAUUGCUCCUUGGGUGCGGAUGGCUCAUGACACUCCUCUCGGUUGCCGAGGCAAUAGAAGUUGAGAUAGUCUGUUGGAUGCACAUUCUCAAGCCCCGCAGACUUGAUCUCCCGAGCAAUAACAUCAUUUUCGGCUUUUCGGUUGUUAUGUUACCUGCCAAUAAAGGAUUUCUUGUACUGUGGCGGAGCUUGGAACACCCUCGGGCCACAUUGGGAUCACUACGUAAACAG